rnacentral:rRNA from 1 species
CCUACGGUGGGCAGCAGUGGGGAAUAUUGGACAAUGGGCGAAAGCCUGAUCCAGCCAUGCCGCGUGUGUGAAGAAGGCCUUCGGGUUGUAAAGCACUUUCAGUGGGGAAGAAAGCCUUGGGGCUAAUACCCUCGAGGAAGGACAUCACCCACAGAAGAAGCACCGGCUAACUCCGUGCCAGCAGCCGCGGUAAUACGGAGGGUGCGAGCGUUAAUCGGAAUUACUGGGCGUAAAGCGCGCGUAGGCGGUCUGAUAAGCCGGUUGUGAAAGCCCCGGGCUCAACCUGGGAACGGCAUCCGGAACUGUCAGGAUAGAGUGCAGGAGAGGAAGGUAGAAUUCCCGGUGUAGCGGUGCAAUGCGUAGAGAUCGGGAGGAAUACCAGUGGCGAAGGCGGCCUUCUGGACUGACACUGACGCUGAGGUGCGAAAGCGUGGGUAGCAAACAGGAUUAGAUACCCCUGUAGUC